GCCAGUGUGGUGUAGAGUUUGAGUAUUGGACUAUGGUUCCAGAGACCAGGGUUCAAAUCCCCACUCAGCCA